CCCACAGAUCUCCGAAGAAAAGAAUGAAAUAAAAAAAAAGAUUGGAAGAGAAAAAGAUGAUCAAUCCAUAUGGGAAAAGGUUUUACCUUUGGAUUAAGCUCUCAAAACCUAAAGGGCCCAACUCACACUGCCACAACUCCCACAAAAUCCCAUAUGCUCGAGAAAAAACUUCAACAGAAACCUAAGAACCCCCACCCAUCUCCCUUAUGUGCUCUUCUUUCCC
rnacentral:lncRNA from 1 species